rnacentral:lncRNA from 1 species
CAGCUGGGAACAAUGACUGCCAAAAGUGUCCAGAGGAAGUCUGCAGGACCUGGGUCUCUCCUAGGUGGAAUAUUCUUUGAAAUCAGCAGGGAACAGAUGUCCACAUCCUGGACUCAGGAAUUUGCGCAGAAGGAGACACUCCAAGCAGUGCUCCGACACACAAGAGGCCCCAGGAAUUCGGAGACCUGAGUAACCCCAAGGAAGCCCUGGCCGCACUCAGGCUGCUGUUUUCAGGCAAAACUAAACAACUCAUAUCAGUCCAAGCACAAAGGAUACUCUCCAAGGAUCAUGGACAUGGAGGUUUGGAUUGAUUUGCAUUCUUUUGCCAAGGAAAGCAUUAACUGGCCCUUUGGGAAGCCCACCUAGUCAAAGGCUAAAAGCUUUAUUGUGCCUGGAGGACAAUCUGCACUUCCGCUCCUUCGGGACUCACCUACUCUCGUGGUAAUUCCAUGCCAAACCACAACCUCCUAGGAAAUGGAUCUGACUCUGAGUCAGAGAUGCGUUCCAAGUCCUAGGGCUAUUGGCCCCGCCAACUUAUAUCCUCACCCCUUGACUGCCAUUUCUCUCUUUUGCCAAUACUGACACUAAUUGUAGAGUUCCCCAACUCCACGCUGCCACUUGCUUAUUUCGUUAUUAUUGCUCAACCUGUGUGACUAUUUUGGAGGACAGAGAUUCCUAGGUCUCUGUAUCUGGAUCUUUCUCUAAGCUGGCAAGUAACCUGCUUUAUCUAACCUUCCUACUGUCAGUGACCCAAGCAGUAGAAGUCACCUCCCUAAUUGUCUUCUAUGAGUUGG